UACGUAGGGGGCGAGCGUUGUCCGGAGUUACUGGGCGUAAAGCGCUUAUAGGCGGUCCACCAAGUUUGGGGUGACAGUUGCCGACUUAAUCGGCAAAGUGCCUCAAAGACUGGCGGACUUGAGGGCCACAGAGGGACAUGGAACUCCAGGUGUAGUGGUGAAAUGCGUAGAUAUCUGGAAGAACACCAAAGGCGAAGGCAGUGUCCUGGGUGGUCGCUGACGCUGAGAGGCGAAAGCCAGGGGAGCGAACGGG
rnacentral:rRNA from 1 species